rnacentral:rRNA from 1 species
CCUACGGGUGGCAGCAGUAGGGAAUCUUCCACAAUGGGCGCAAGCCUGAUGGAGCAACACCGCGUGAGUGAAGAAGGGUCUCGGCUCGUAAAGCUCGGUUGUUGGAGAAGAACGUUCGUGAGAGUAACUGUUCACGCAGUGACGGUAUCCAACCAGAAAGUCACGGCUAACUACGUGCCAGCAGCCGAGGUAAUACGUAGGUGGCAAGCGUUAUCCGGUUUUAUUGGGCGGAAAGCGAGCGAAGGCGGUCGCUUAGGUGUGAUGUGAAAGCCUGCGGCUUAACCGAAGAAGUGCAUCGGAAACCGGGAGACUUGAGUGCAGAAGAGGACAGUGGAACUCCAGGUGUAGCGGUGGAAUGCGUAGAUAUAUGGAAGAACACCGAUGGCGAAGGCAGCUGUCUGGUCUGCAACUGACGCUGAGGCUCGAAAGCAUGGGUAGCGAACAGGAUUAGAUACCCGAGUAGUC